GAGGUCUCCGAGUGAACAGGUCUGUUUGAUUCAAUUUCAUCGCUUUGUUCCUCUUGUAAGCCAGUUGGAAGGUCUUUGAUAAUUUGAAAAAUUCAAGUAUUUCUGAGCUCGGUGGCAGGUUCAUCAGAGUUACCAAGAUUCGGUUGGUUUGGAGGCUUGUUCGAAAGGAAAGGUCGUGGUUGAUUGAUUGAAUUGGUUGCAGAGUGAGAUUUUGGUAUUGGUCCCAGCAGUGUCUAGCAGUGUUUUUGCUCGGAUCAUAUCUAUAUCUAGAGACUUGAGGUAGACCUGCACGACGAUUGUAGUCCCUGAAGUUUCCUUCCUUUUCUAGCUUUAAUGUUUAUAUUUUUUCGAACAGUUGUAUUUUAUUCCGACAUUGGUCGUAGCACUUAUAGUAUGCUCAUGUACUUGUGACACUAGAUUCCGUGGCUAGUCAGCGUUUUUGAGUUAUUAUAUUUAUUUUGAAAA